GACGAACGCUGGCGGCGUGCUUAACACAUGCAAGUCGAACGAGACGAAUUAGAAGCUUGCUUUUGACGAGUCGAGUGGCAAACGGGUGAGUAACGCGUAGGCAACCUGCCUCUAGGAUGGGGACAACAGUCCGAAAGGACUGCUAAUACCGAAUGUUGUAGAUAUUCCGCAUGGAAGAGAUAUUAAAGAUGGCCUCUACUUGUAAGCUAUCGCUUUGCGAUGGGUCUGCGUCUGAUUAGCUAGUUGGCAGGGUAACGGCCUACCAAGGCGACGAUCCAUAGCCGGCCUGAGAGGGUGAACGGCCACAUUGGGACUGAGACACGGCCCAGACUCCUACGGGAGGCAGCAGUGGGGAAUAUUGCACAAUGGGGGAAACCCUGAUGCAGCGACGCCGCGUGAAGGAAGAAGUAUCUCGGUAUGUAAACUUCUAUCAGCAGGGAAGAUAGUGACGGUACCUGACUAAGAAGCCCCGGNUAACUACGUGCCAGCAG
rnacentral:rRNA from 1 species